rnacentral:rRNA from 1 species
GUGUCAGCAGCCGCGGUAAUACGUAGGAUGCAAGCGUUGUCCGGAAUUAUUGGGCGUAAAGAGUUCGUAGGUGGUUAUCUAAGUCUGGUGUUAAAGACGGGAGCUCAACUCCCGCAUGGCAUUGGAAACUGGAUGGCUAGAGUGUGAAAGAGGUAACUGGAAUUCCUAGUGUAGCGGUGAAAUGCGCAGAUAUUAGGAGGAACACCUGUGGCGAAAGCGAGUUACUGGUUCAUUACUGACACUGAGGAACGAAAGCUAGGGUAGCAAAAGGGAUUAGAUACCCCCGUAGUCC